rnacentral:rRNA from 1 species
GAUGAACGCUGGCGGCGUGCCUAAUACAUGCAAGUCGAGCGAAGCGGGGACGGGUGCGUAACACGUGGAUAACCUCCUAUAAGACUGGGAUAACUUCGGGAAACCGGUGCUAAACCGGAUACUUAUAGGUCGAUCCUCGCUGCAUUAGCUAGGGGGUAAGGUAACGGCGUACCAAGGCCACGAUGCAUAGCCGACCUGAGAGGGUGAUCGGCAACACUGGAACUGAGACACGGCCCAUACUCCUACGGGAGGCAGCAGUAGGGAAUCUUCCGCAAUGGGCGAAAGCCUGACCGAGCAACGCCGCGUGAGUGAUGAAGGUCUUCGGAUCGUAAAACUCUGUUAUUUGGGAAGCGGUACCUAAUCAGAAAGCCACGGCUAACUACGUGCCAGCAGCCGCGGUAAUUC